UCCAAGGAGAGGGCAAAAGAGAGUGGUCGACUUCAGCAGCGGUAGUGGCCUAUAGGUCUGGUUCAGGGACUGAGUUCUGCCUUGAAAUUGCUUGAAUUGGAGGGAUCUGUGGCACUCCAACAGUACUGUUAGCCGUGAAGAGCAGGUGAAUGUGCAGAUCAGAAGCUGUCACCUUUGAAACCACAGAUCUGCACUGUAAAAGGGAACAAAAGGACUUCCCAUUUCCUGAGCCUGCAGUCACGUUUGUGAAGUUCAGAUGUUCUCCAGAUCAAGCCAUUAUGGAGAAAUGUGUUUUUUUCUGAUCAUAAUAAUUAGUGAUGAAAAGAUAACUGAAAUCCCUGGGAUUUUGGAGGACAGCUUCUGUCAGCACAGUCUUCUCUUUGUUCAACUGUACAGAGGCACCCAGAAGCAGCAGGGAACAGCAAGAAAAACAAGAGGAGACAAAGCAGGAAGGCUGCACACCAUGACCUGGGGACUCUCAUGGCAGCACGCAUGCUGGGAAGGUGAGCUCCACACCAAGCACUGAACUUGUCCUGUCCCAACCUGCAGUAAGUGCCCACUGCUUCUGCACACGUGAUGCUUGCCUUGGAGUUGUGGCUCUUUCAGAGAGCUGUUGUGAAGGAGGUACACAAAGAUGAUAAUCCUGGAAAAAGAAGGCUCUAAAGAUCCGCAGGUCACCGUGUGUGGCGUUGGUGUCUGCAGAAUGUCCGUACCUGAAGAAUCUGCCAAGCACUAUUUGAUGUUGUUCCUUGCUGGGGAUGUGUGUUUUGGCACCCUGUCCAUUAACACUCCCUGAAAUAGGGAGACAGAUCUGUGAGAUGGAAAUUUCUGACCUCUUGUAAAUGAGGCUUUUAUUCUCAGCAAGCUUGGUAUCCCUAAAUGUACAGUUAAUAUUCUUCUGUAUCAGGAAAAGCUGCUCAGAUACGUGGUCUCAACUGAUUCAGGCUUCAAGUUGGAAAGUUUUUCGUGCUGUUUAUAGAUGGAGAUGGUGGCUCUGCAUAUGCUGGUGUAUGUUGUUCCUAAAAGUAAUGACAUUUCCUUUAGACACCUAAGUUCUGAACCAAGAAUCUUGUUUCUGGAGGGCUGUGAAAUGCACGUAGCGCCGCACUGAAUCGAUGGGAUUAAUGAGUUCUCUCUACCUGUUUUGUUCGCUAAUGUCUGCUCUUCUGAAUUGGUUUGUUUUGCUUAACACACACGCUGUAUCAACCUAACUAUGUAGUUUUGGGCUAGAAGUCAGGUUUUCUGUGUUGCUAUCAGGUCUUCAACUUUUCAAAAUGAAAGGUCUUUAAUAUUAGUCUGGUUUUGAGCCAAUUUCUUAAUAAGAAUAACGUAUUAUAAAUUGCUGAAA
rnacentral:lncRNA from 1 species